CGGCACAGUGAACACCCUCGUGUGCUUUCUUUGUAGCUCCCCUGGAUUUUACUCUGUGCUACAGUAAAGUGUGGUCUGUAACCUCUGCAUUGGAGGAGCUGCAUUCUCCUCCACAUGUAUUCAGCAGACCAGUACAUUA
ensembl:snoRNA